GCAUGUCAUUUGGUUUAAUUUUAUUGGCUGGGGAGUGGCAGAGACUACCAUAGGCAUGUCAUUUGGUUUAAUUUUAUUGGCUGGGAAGUGGCAGAGACUACCAUAGGCAUGUCAUUUGGUUUAAUUUUAUUGGCUGGGGAGUGGCAGAGACUACCAUAGGCAUGUCAUUUGGUUUAAUUUUAUUGGCUGGGGCUGGGAAGUGGCAGAGACUACCAUAGGCAUGUCAUUUGGUUUAAUUUUAUUGGCUGGGGCUGGGGAGUGGCAGAGACUACCAUAGGCAUGUCAUUUGGUUUAAUUUUAUUGGCUGGGGAGUGGCAGAGACUACCAUAGGCAUGUCAUUUGGUUUAAUUUUAUUGGCUGGGGCUGGGAAGUGGCAGAGACUACCAUAGGCAUGUAAUUUGGUUUAAUUUUAUUGGCUGGGGAGUGGCAGAGACUACCAUAGGCAUGUCAUUUGGUUUAAUUUGAUUGGCUGGGGAGUGGCAGAGACUACCAUAGGCAUGUCAUUUGGUUUAAUUUUAUUGGCUGGGGAGUGGCAGAGACUACCUUAGGCAUGUCAUUUGGUUUAAUUUCAUUGGCUGGGGAGUGGCAGAUAUUACCAUAGGCAUGUCAUUUGGUUUAAUUUUAUUGGCUGGGGCUGGGAAGUGGCAGAGACUACCAUAGGCAUGUCAUUUGGUUUAAUUUUAUUGGCUGGGGAGUGGCAGAGACUACCAUAGGCAUGUCAUUUGGUUUAAUUUUAUUGGCUGGGGCUGGGAAGUGGCAGAGACUACCAUAGGCAUGUCAUUUGGUUUAAUUUUAUUGGCUGGGGAGUGGCAGAGACUACCAUAGGCAUUUUAUUUCUAUGGAAACUGUAAAUGAGCUUGUUAAGACCUGCCUGAUGGCUCUAUAGUGCAUUGCCUGUUAAACAAGGGCUUUGUCCCAAAUAGUAGUGCACUAUGUGGGGAAUAGGGUGCCUGGGACGCUGUUCUUCCUGAGAGUAACAGAAACUAGUUGUUUGUUAAUUAACAUCUUAUCUCUGGACGGGGACUAGAGGUCUCACCAACCGACCACACUACUGUUAAAUAUAUAUCAUCUUGGCUCCACCUCGGUGAUCUCAGCAUCUGCCUGAUUGUUCCUUCAACGCCUCUAAAUAUUAUUCACAUAACAUGAGAAUAAGUAAUGGUUCAGUACUCUAGUAGCUCAUCUAUACUGUGGUAGACAGUUCAGUGAUGUACUAUUAUACUGUGAGGCAGUUGUUCUAUCAGGGGCUAGCUAGUCGUCCAUCCACAGCUGUAUCAAUACACUAACCCAGUGGUUCCUGAGACUAGGGGUUAGGGGACGAGAACCCAUGCCGAGUUAGGGGUUACCCCAUUUAGGGUGCCUCUUCAUCACCACUUCACUUUAUUAUUAUUAUAUUAUAUUAUUAUUAUAUUAUUAAAAAAGGGACCUACAUAACAUUACAGGGUAGUAAAGAGAGAGAGGAAUUCAAAUCAUAAAACAAGCAGGUGGAAUGAAUAAAACCUUGUUUAGUUCUGUUGUCAAUCUGGAGACAGUGUGUCAUCAGUAGAACAACAAAUCCAAACAGUCUAUUCCACAACUCAGGUAGGUAGUAUAUACUAACACACUGACCAUCUGUCUAGAACCAUUACAGGUAGGUAGUAUAUACUAACACAAUGACCAUCUGUCUAGAACCAUUACAGGUAGGUAGUAUAUACUAACACACUGACCAUCUGUCUAGAACCAUUACAGGUAGGUAGUAUAUACUAACACAAUGACCAUCUGUCUAGAACCAUUACAGGUAGGUAGUAUAUACUAACACACUGACCAUCUGUCUAGAACCAUUACAGGUAGGUAGUAUAUACUAGCACAAUGACCAUCUGUCUAGAACCAUUACAGGUAGGUAGUAUAUACUAGCACAAUGACCAUCUGUCUAGAACCAUUACAGGUAGGUAGUAUAUACUAACACACUGACCAUCUGUCUAGAACCAUUACAGGUAGGUAGUAUAUACUAACACACUGACCAUCUGUCUAGAACCAUUACAGGUAGGUAGUAUAUACUAGCACAAUGACCAUCUGUCUAGAACCAUUACAGGUAGGUAGUAUAUACUAACACACUGACCAUCUGUCUAGAACCAUUACAGGUAGGUAGUAUAUACUAACACAAUGACCAUCUGUCUAGAACCAUUACAGGUAGGUAGUAUAUACUAACACAAUGACCAUCUGUCUAGAACCAUUACAGGUAGGUAGUAUAUACUAACACACUGACCAUCUGUCUAGAACCAUUACAGGUAGGUAGUAUAUACUAACACACUGACCAUCUGUCUAGAACCAUUACAGGUAGGUAGUAUAUACUAACACACUGACCAUCUGUCUAGAACCAUUACAGGUAGGUAGUAUAUACUAACACACUGACCAUCUGUCUGGAACCAUUACAGGUAGGUAGUAUAUACUAACACAAUGACCAUCUGUCUAGAACCAUUACAGGUAGGUAGUAUAUACUAACACACUGACCAUCUGUCUAGAACCAUUACAGGUAGGUAGUAUAUACUAACACACUGACCAUCUGUCUAGAACCAUUACAGGUAGGUAGUAUAUACUAACACACUGACCAUCUGUCUAGAACCAUUACAGGUAGGUAGUAUAUACUAACACAAUGACCAUCUGUCUAGAACCAUUACAGGUAGGUAGUAUAUACUAACACACUGACCAUCUGUCUAGAACCAUUACAGGUAGGUAGUAUAUACUAACACACUGACCAUCUGUCUAGAACCAUUACAGGUAGGUAGUAUAUACUAACACACUGACCAUCUGUCUAGAACCAUUACAGGUAGGUAGUAUAUACUAGCACACUGACCAUCUGUCUGGAACCAUUACAGGUAGGUAGUAUAUACUAACACACUGACCAUCUGUCUAGAACCAUUACAGGUAGGUAGUAUAUACUAACACACUGACCAUCUGUCUAGAACCAUUACAGGUAGGUAGUAUAUACUAACACACUGACCAUCUGUCUAGAACCAUUACAGGUAGGUAGUAUAUACUAACACAAUGACCAUCUGUCUAGAACCAUUACAGGUAGGUAGUAUAUACUAACACACUGACCAUCUGUCUAGAACCAUUACAGGUAGGUAGUAUAUACUAACACAAUGACCAUCUGUCUAGAACCAUUACAGGUAGGUAGUAUAUACUAACACACUGACCAUCUGUCUAGAACCAUUACAGGUAGGUAGUAUAUACUAACACAAUGACCAUCUGUCUAGAACCAUUACAGGUAGGUAGUAUAUACUAACACACUGACCAUCUGUCUAGAACCAUUACAGGUAGGUAGUAUAUACUAACACACUGACCAUCUGUCUAGAACCAUUACAGGUAGGUAGUAUAUACUAACACAAUGACCAUCUGUCUAGAACCAUUACAGGUAGGUAGUAUAUACUAACACACUGACCAUCUGUCUAGAACCAUUACAGGUAGGUAGUAUAUACUAACACAAUGACCAUCUGUCUAGAACCAUUACAGGUAGGUAGUAUAUACUAACACACUGACCAUCUGUCUGGAACCAUUACAGGUAGGUAGUAUAUACUAACACAAUGACCAUCUGUCUAGAACCAUUACAGGUAGGUAGUAUAUACUAACACACUGACCAUCUGUCUAGAACCAUUACAGGUAGGUAGUAUAUACUAACACACUGACCAUCUGUCUAGAACCAUUACAGGUAGGUAGUAUAUACUAACACACUGACCAUCUGUCUGGAACCAUUACAGGUAGGUAGUAUAUACUAACACACUGACCAUCUGUCUGGAACCAUUACAGGUAGGUAGUAUAUACUAACACACUGACCAUCUGUCUAGAACCAUUACAGGUAGGUAGUAUAUACUAACACAAUGACCAUCUGUCUAGAACCAUUACAGGUAGGUAGUAUAUACUAACACACUGACCAUCUGUCUGGAACCAUUACAGGUAGGUAGUAUAUACUAACACACUGACCAUCUGUCUGGAACCAUUACAGGUAGGUAGUAUAUACUAACACAAUGACCAUCUGUCUAGAACCAUUACAGGUAGGUAGUAUAUACUAACACACUGACCAUCUGUCUAGAACCAUUACAGGUAGGUAGUAUAUACUAACACACUGACCAUCUGUCUAGAACCAUUACAGGUAGGUAGUAUAUACUAACACAAUGACCAUCUGUCUAGAACCAUUACAGGUAGGUAGUAUAUACUAACACACUGACCAUCUGUCUAGAACCAUUACAGGUAGGUAGUAUAUACUAACACACUGACCAUCUGUCUAGAACCAUUACAGGUAGGUAGUAUAUACUAACACACUGACCAUCUGUCUAGAACCAUUACAGGUAGGUAGUAUAUACUAACACACUGACCAUCUGUCUAGAACCAUUACAGGUAGGUAGUAUAUACUAACACACUGACCAUCUGUCUAGAACCAUUACAGGUAGGUAGUAUAUACUAACACAAUGACCAUCUGUCUAGAACCAUUACAGGUAGGUAGUAUAUACUAACACACUGACCAUCUGUCUAGAACCAUUACAGGUAGGUAGUAUAUACUAACACACUGACCAUCUGUCUAGAACCAUUACAGGUAGGUAGUAUAUACUAACACAAUGACCAUCUGUCUAGAACCAUUACAGGUAGGUAGUAUAUACUAACACACUGACCAUCUGUCUAGAACCAUUACAGGUAGGUAGUAUAUACUAACACACUGACCAUCUGUCUAGAACCAUUACAGGUAGGUAGUAUAUACUAACACAAUGACCAUCUGUCUAGAACCAUUACAGGUAGGUAGUAUAUACUAACACACUGACCAUCUGUCUAGAACCAUUACAGGUAGGUAGUAUAUACUAACACACUGACCAUCUGUC